UAAAAUAUGUCAUAUUAGUUCCAUUUCAUACUUAUAACCAAUUUAAACAUCAUUCUAUAACCAUAAUCACAAAACUCUUAUACUUAACCUAUACAUCUCCUAGGUACAUGCCACAUAAUCAAAACAAAGGUACAUCACUAAAAUUUCUCUAAGGUCGGGAUUGCCCUGGAUGCUGGUCCGAACACUGGCUUUCUACUAACCUGCUCACGGAAACAACCGUACGCUGAGUAUGGGUAUACUCAGUGGUAUUACCCUAAUUCAAAUUUAUAACAUUAAUCGAUAAACUAUAUACAUUCAAUUUAUGCCUACAAUUAUUCAUUAAUUGUCUCAUACUUUAAAUCAACUUGAUCAUUAAUAACAAUAAGCAAUAUUUCAAAUCUUGUAUUCGAUUGUAUUCAUACCUUAUUCAAUUUAUGAAUAUAUAACUCGUGUAUUCCAUGUAUUUACAACAUAUUUCACAUUCUAUUUUCAGUUUACUAUCUCGUAUUCUUAGCCCAAAGUAGGUCUUAUAGAACACACUGGAUAUACGGAACAAAUACAGAGGUGCAUUAUUAUGCACCAAUGAACAGAGAGCACUAAAGUGCUAUACAUAGAGCACAAAUAUGCUAAUCAGAGAGCACCAACGUGCUAAUAAUCAGAGAGCGCACUAAAGUUCCUUAAUGGCAUGCCACUAAUAUCCCAGUAAUUCUAAAUUUCAUCUACUUGGGCAUUAAAACUGAAUUUUAUACAUAUAAAAAAUAAUCCAAUUAUCAUAUUUGCACAAUUUUAUAUUUACACAUAUAUAUUCAUAAUAUAUAUAUUCCAAUUCAAUUCAACCAAUAUAAUUUCAUUCAAUUCACAAUUUCUCAUGUUCACAAUUCAAAUCAAUUUCUCAAUCCAAUAUGCAUUUCAAUACCACAUUAAUUCUUUUAAUUCAAAUCAUAUCACUAGUAAUUUCCAUUCAAUUCACAUACAAUUCAAUAUCAUUGAAUUCAAUAUCGAUAUUCACUUUAUUUUUAUUUACUAAACAUAUUAUUCAAAAUUCAACAAUUGCUAUUAAUAAAUUCAAUACCAAUACGUAUUUAUCAUUCAAUUCAAUCAUGAUACUUACCUCAAUUUGCUUAUUGUGUAUAUUAAUUUAAAUUUUAACAAUUAAUAAUUAAAUUCGAAUUAUGGUAAUACUAACUGAAAUUUCUCUCGAGUCACUCCUUGUCCAGCUUCUCCUUUCCUUUCUUGGUCAAUGACUCUUGCACGACAUUAGCUACAUAAUUAAACAAUUAAAAAUCAUUAAUACACAAUUUCAUCUAAACAUUUCCAUUUAUACCUAAACUUUACCUAAAUUCUAAUUUAAUCCCUUAUCAAUACUAAUUUUAUUUUUCCUAAUCUAACUCCAUAUUCUCUCUUAAUUCCUACUAUAACCUCAUUUUAACUCUUCAAUUUCACCAUAAAUCCCUAAUUUUGAGAUUCUUUCAAUUUAGUCCCUACUAUUCAAAACUUACACUUUAUUUUACAAUUAAAUCAUUUACUAACUUCUAACUUGAAAUUAAAUCAAUUUAACCACUAAUUCGUCAUCUUUCCCAACAUGAACCAUGUCUAAAAAAAAUCUAAUAUCUUACAAAAUUUCAACAUAAAUCCAAUAAUACUUUAAUCUAGGAUUCCAAAAACAUCAAAACUAAAAGAAAAUGGGCUAAAUUAACUUACCAAUUAAACUUCAAGCUUCAAAUCCCAAGUUUUCCCUUUUAUUUUUCUUUCCUAUUCUUUCUUCCCCUGUUCGAAUGGCUUCUGUUGUUCUGUUUGUUUCUUUUACUUCUUUUCUUUCUUUUUAUUUACUUAAUAAUUAAUAUAAUAUCAAUAUAAAAGAUCUUAU
rnacentral:lncRNA from 1 species